rnacentral:pre_miRNA from 9 species
AAGGAGCUCCUUUCAGUCCAAUAUGGAGGGCUUAGAAGCGGCAAAGAGCUGCCAUCUCAUGCAUUAAGGCAAUACUUGACAAGUUUUUCACAGUGAAAAUCUCAAGUUUGGCCUGGUGCAUGGUGUGGGAGCAACUCCUUCCCUCCUUCCCCCACCCAUUGGACUGAAGGGAGCUCCUUCUUUCAUUUUG